UACAGAGGGUGCGAGCGUUGUCCGGAAUCACUGGGCGUAAAGGGCGCGUAGGCGGCCUGGUAAGUCGGGGGUGAAAUCUCGAGGCUCAACUUCGAGGCUGCCUCCUAAACUGUCAGGCUUGAGCAGAGUAGAGGCAGGUGGAAUUCCCGGUGUAGCGGUGGAAUGCGUAGAGAUCGGGAAGAACAUCGGUGGCGAAGGCGGCCUGCUGGGCUGUUGCUGACACUGAUGCGCGACAGCGUGGGGAGCAAACAGG
rnacentral:rRNA from 1 species